rnacentral:rRNA from 1 species
GUUGUUUUUCCGAAAAUUAAUUACGAAUGGCUUGAUUUUGUGUUGUAUUGACCUUAUCAGCUUUCUGCACUUUUUUCGAGUCUUUCUUAAUGCACUUUUCGGUUAACAAGUCAACAUCAAUUUCUUUUGUUGUAAAAGAGUAUUCGGAAGGUGGCUUUCUUUUCGGAGAAAGUGUUUAUAGCCCUAUACUUCUACAAUCGGAGAGAUUGAGGUCUGCAGCGUAGAUCCUUCGGGGUUAGAUACAUUUGUGCUAAGUUGUAGCUUUUCAUAGACAACUUGUUGACUAUGUUUAGUCAUGCGGCUUACUCGCUUAUGCUAUUUUACCUAC